UCGGUGGGGACCGAGCGUUUACUACAGAGAAGGAAAAGAAGAAGCCUGACCAGGAAGAACGGAUGUAGCUUUCUGUCAUGCCUGGUGUGUCGCCACGAACCAUGUAGUUGCUCAACUAAUAUUAUUUAAGUUUAAUGAACCUGAACAAAGGCAAAAGAUAGAACUCAAAUUUCUAUUAAGGAUUUACGUUUGCAAGGGAAGGAUUAUGAGGCAGAAGAAUUCUGUCCAAAUACACUUGACUUUGGACUGAUCUUCCUGUCCACAGUUACUGAAGAUGCACUGGCGGGAAUGUUCCCUGAAACAGGAGACAAAGGAUCAUAGAAACCAAGAGCCGGAAGGAAGACAGAUGAGCAGCCGUGAGCCCAGGGAGAUGAGUAACACCCAAGGACAAGACAAAUGGCCCCCAGUCUAGAACUUUUUGACUUGAAACCAUUUUGGCCUCUAGAUGCUGUUAUGAGUCCAGGCCUUCCGGUGGCUUAAACAUGGCAGUCCAAGCCCUCUUACCAGAGGUUAAUCAGUCCUCUUAUGCAAGAGAAAAAGUCAAAUAGAAACAGUCUCCAUCUCACAAUGAAAACACAAAUUAAGGGUCAGAAGAAAUCUCAAGGAGUCACCCAAGUGCUACCAGAAGAGAGAAGUCAUUCUUCAGUUCAAUGACCUGCCUGUGGCUCUGGCUUACUGCACUUACAACAAACAAGAUGCCACGUUCCACUUCCCCCAGCCUCAGGUCAUCUCAGCCUGGAGAAAUAGGAAUCAUAUUUAAAACCUUAAAACUUUAAAUAACAGGAAGUUUGAGGGCCAUGCGACCACAUCCUAGACCUCUUUGUACCUCUUGUGCCCCUGUGGGGACACCGCCUUGCUCCUCAGACACUCCGCCUGGGUUUGCUGAGAUGGCUGUUUCCGUGGCAAUGCCCAAGGAGAAAGAAGGGCCCUGAGGCCCUGAGUCACAUCGCUGUGGCAAUCAUGGAAUCCAGGACCUGCCUGUUGGUCUCUUUCAAGAUGGUGGAAGUCAUGAUGGUGAAUCUCAGCACUGACUUGAGGAGAUGAUACUUACUGCCACCUUAACAUCAGCUGUUUUCUGACUACCACAUUGACUUAGUCCAACUCAAUGCAAUGGCCUGAGUUGCAUGAACUUAUCACAGUACUAGACAU